CAGGGGCUGCUCCAUGGAAGCA
rnacentral:miRNA from 1 species